UCCCCUAGUAACUGCGAGUGAAGCGGGAAAAGCUCAAAUUUAAAAUCUGGUGGUCUUUGGCCAUCCGAGUUGUAAUUUAGAGAAGCGUCUUCCGCGCUGGACCAUGCACAAGUCUCCUGGAAUGGAGCGUCAUAGAGGGUGAGAAUCCCGUCUUUGGCAUGGACCCCAGGGCUUCUGUGAUGCGCUCUCAAAGAGUCGAGUUGUUUGGGAAUGCAGCUCAAAAUGGGUGGUGAACUCCAUCUAAAGCUAAAUAUUGGCGAGAGACCGAUAGCGAACAAGUACCGUGAGGGAAAGAUGAAAAGCACUUUGGAAAGAGAGUGAAACAGUACGUGAAAUUGUUGAAAGGGAAACGCUUGAAGUCAGUCGCGUCGACCGAGACUCAGCCUUGCCUUGGCUUGGUGUACUUCUCGGCUGACGGGUCAGCAUCAAUUUUGAUCCUUGGAUAAUGGCAAGGGAAAGGUAGCACCUUUACAGGUGUGUUAUAGUCCUCUGUCGCAUGCAAGGGUUGGGAUUGAGGAACUCAGCAUGCACCUCAUCGGUGUCGGGGCCUCGGCCUACGUUACGUGCUUAGGAUGCUGGCAUAAUGGCUUUAAACGACCCGUCUUGAAACACGGACCAAGGAGUCUAACAUGCACGCGAGUGUUCGGGUGGAAAACCCGUGCGCGUAAUGAAAGUAAAAGUUGGGACCUCUGUCGUGGAGGGCACCGACGCCCGGACCAGACCUUCUGUGACGGCUCUGCGGUAGAGCGUGUAUGUUGGGACCCGAAAGAUGGUGAACUAUGCCUGA
rnacentral:rRNA from 1 species